CAGUAGCCACGGGAAUACGAAGGGUGCAAGCGUUAAUCGGAAUUACUGGGCGUGAAGCGUGCGUAGGCGGUUUGUUAAGUCUGUUGUGAAAUCCCCGGGCUCAACCUGGGAAUGGCAAUGGAUACUGGCAAGCUAGAGUGUGUCAGAGGAUGGUGGAAUUCCCGGUGUAGCGGUGAAAUGCGUAGAGAUCGGGAGGAACAUCAGUGGCGAAGGCGGCCAUCUGGGACAACACUGACGCUGAGGCACGAAAGCGUGGGGAGCAAACAGGAUUAGAUACCCCGGUAGUCCCUGUCUCUUAUAC
rnacentral:rRNA from 1 species